UGCCCAGCAACUCCUAUCCCUACUUCCUCGUGGUACCGGCCGGAAACUAUGAGCAACCUUAGGGAAGAUCGGGUAAUCAACCCCGGUGGAAACUUUGGUCGUAGGCUGACAGGGAAGG
rnacentral:ribozyme from 1 species